GGUCGCCUCCUUGUGCCGGUGUCCGCACUUGGGGUUCUAGGGCUGUGGAUGUGCUUACAGGAACUGUCGCCACUACUCUUCGACGUCUUUGGACCCUCUUCCCUUCACUUUCUUUUGUUGACUCCUGUGUGACCCUCGUAGGACUCUGUUUUGGUUGCACCGAUAUCUGAGGUGAUGUGGACCCCGGAGCUGGCCCUACUGAGGGGCUUCCCCACUGAGGCUGAGCUGCAGCAGUGGAAGCAAGAGGGAGUCGCCGGUUCGGAGAGUGGAUCUUUCCUACAAUUGCUGCUAGAAGGGAACUAUGAGGCCAUAUUCUUAAAUUCAUUGACUCAAAGUAUUUUAAAUUCAGCAACGAUGACUGAAGAAAAGAUUGACAGCUACCUAGAGAAGCAGAUAGUAACAUUCCUGGAUUACUCAACAGAUUUGGACAAAACCAGAAGACAGCAGCUGAUAUUCCUACUUGGUGUGAGCAGUUUGCAACUUUUUGUUCAGAGUAACUGGACGGGGCCUCUUGUUGAUUUACACCCUCAGGAUUUUCUGCCGUCUGUUUUGCUCCAGCAGUUUAGUGAGGUCAAAGGACUGGAUGCACUCAUUCUGAGUUUGCUCAUUCUAGAUGGUGAAUCAAUCUACAGCCUGACCUUGAAGCCUAUACUGCUAUUAUUAGCACGAAUUUCCCUAGUGAAUGUAAGACAUAGGCUGACAGCUAUUCAGAGCUUGCCAUGGUGGACUUUGAGAUGUGUGAAUAUUCACCAGCAAUUGCUUGAGGAACGCUCACCUCAGCUCUUUGCUCUUGCUGAAGACUGUAUUGAUCAAGUGAUGAAACUAGAGGAUCUGUUUGUAGAUGAUUCAGGUCGAUAUUUGGCUGUUCAGUUCCAUCUGGAAUGUGCAUAUAUAUUUUUAUAUUAUUAUGAAUAUAAAAAAGCAAAAGAUCAGUUCAAUAUUGCUAAAGAGAUCUGCAGAUUACAAAUUGAUUUGACAGGUGCUUUGGGAAAAAGGACACGGUUCCAGGAAAAUUACGUGGCCCAACUUAUUCUAGAUGUAAGAAGGGAAGGAGCUGUGUUUUCAAAUUAUGAAUUCACUCCAGCACCCACUCCUCAGGAAUAUUUAACCAAGAAUAUUGAGCUCAAUGAUGAUACUGUUCUAAAUGAGAUAAAGUUAGCAGAUUGUGAACAGUCUCAGAUGCCUGACCUGUGUGCUGAAGAGCUUGCUGUUAUCCUUGGAAUCUGCACAAAUCUCCAAAAGAAUAACCCAGUGCAUAAGUUAACUGAAGAAGAGCUGCUGGCAUUUACAUCCUGUUUGCUUUCACAACCCAAGUUCUGGGCCAUUCAGACAUCAGCUUUGAUCCUCCGGACAAAACUUGAGAGAGGAAGCACACGCCGAGUGGAACGGGCAAUGAGACAGACACAGGCUCUUGCAGACCAAUUUGAAGAUAAGACUACGUCUGUAUUGGAACGUCUGAAGAUUUUCUAUUGCUGUCAAGUGCCACCUCAUUGGGCCAUUCAGCGCCAGCUUGCAAGUCUACUCUUUGAGUUGGGAUGUACCAGUUCAGCCCUUCAGAUAUUUGAGAAGCUAGAAAUGUGGGAAGAUGUUGUCAUUUGUUAUGAAAGAGCUGGGCAGCAUGGGAAGGCAGAAGAAAUCCUCAGGCAAGAGCUGGAGAAAAAAGAAACACCAAGUCUAUACUGCUUGCUUGGAGAUGUCCUUCGAGAGCACUCUUACUACGACCAGGCCUGGGAGUUGUCUCAGCACCGCAGUGCUCGCGCCCAGCGCUCCAAAGGCCUCCUCCAUCUGCGAAGCAAAGAGUUUAAAGAAUGUGUGGAGUGCUUUGAACGCUCGGUGAAGAUUAAUCCCAUGCAGCUCGGGGUGUGGUUUUCUCUGGGCUGUGCCUAUCUGGCCUUGGAAGACUAUGGAGGUUCAGCAAGGGCAUUUCAGCGCUGUGUGACUCUAGAACCUGACAACGCUGAAGCUUGGAACAAUUUAUCAACUUCUUAUAUCCGAUUAAAACAAAAAGUGAAAGCUUUUAGAACUUUACAAGAAGCCCUCAAGUGCAACUAUGAACAUUGGCAGAUCUGGGAAAACUAUAUUCUCACUAGCACUGACAUUGGGGAAUUUUCAGAAGCCAUUAAUGCUUAUCAUCGGCUCUUGGACUUAAGAGACAAAUACAAAGAUACUCAGGUCCUUACAAUUCUGGUCAGGGCAGUGAUGGAUGGGAUGGCUGAUCGUAGUGGAGAUGUUGCAUCUGGCCUCAGAGGAAAGCUGCAGGAGCUGUUUGGCAGAGUAACUUCAAGAGUGACGAACGACGGAGAAAUCUGGAGGCUAUAUGCCCAAGUGUGUGGAAAUGGGCAGAGUGACAAGCCUGAUGAAAAUGAAAAGGCGUUCCAGUAUCUCUCUAAGGCAUACAAGUGUGACACACAGUCCAGUUGUUGGGAGAAAGAUAUUACAUCAUUUAAGGAAGUGGUUCAGAGAGCCUUAGGACUCGCACAUGGCAUGUGAUGCCCUGGGAAUGCAAUUCAAAUAAAAUAAUGAAGCCACACUGUCAAGAACUGAAUCACAAGGACUGUGAACCUAUCCUAAAGUCCUCCUCUAACUUCUGCAACUAAUAGUUGCAGCAAAUAGGUAGCCAACAAGGGACAAUAAAAAGGGCAGAACUUUGGACUCAGGGAGGCCCAAGUUCCAGGACCAGCUCUACCACAUACUAACUAGUGGCUAUAAAAUGCAGUAGAAGCAAAUCCAGUCCCCAAGAGGCUAUACAAGUGCUUUCUUCAGUGCGACUCAAUUUACGGGGCUUGUUAUCUAAAGCAAAGCAACUUUUUACAGAUGUGAUAAGUGGAGAAAUUUCCAG